ACGGAGGGUGCGAGCGUUGUUCGGAUUUACUGGGCGUAAAGGGCGCGUAGGCGGCUUAUCAAGUCAGGUGUGAAAGCCCACGGCUCAACCGUGGAAGUGCAUCUGAAACUGGCAGGCUUGAGUACUGGAGGGGAGUGUGGAAUUCCCGGUGUAGAGGUGAAAUUCGUAGAUAUCGGGAGGAAUACCGGUGGCGAAGGCGACACUCUGGACAGAUACUGACGCUGAGGCGCGAAAGCGUGGGGAGCAAACAGGAUUAGAUACCCUGGUAGUCCACAGCUGUAAACGAUGUGCACUAGGUGUGGGGGGUCGUUGACCCUUUCCGUGCCGUAGCUAACGCAAUAAGUGCACCGCCUGGGGAGUACGGUCGCAAGAUUA
rnacentral:rRNA from 1 species